UAAUACGGAGGGUGCAAGCGUUAUCCGGAUUUAUUGGGUUUAAAGGGUCCGUAGGCGGACUUAUAAGUCAGUGGUGAAAGCCUGUCGCUUAACGAUAGAACUGCCAUUGAUACUGUAAGUCUUGAGUAUAUUUGAGGUAGCUGGAAUAAGUAGUGUAGCGGUGAAAUGCAUAGAUAUUACUUAGAACACCAAUUGCGAAGGCAGGUUACCAAGAUAUAACUGACGCUGAGGGACGAAAGCGUGGGGAGCGAACAGGAUUAGAUACCCUGGUAGUCCACGCCGUAAACGAUGCUAACUCGUUUUUGGAGCGCAAGCUUCAGAGACCAAGCGAAAGUGAUAAGUUAGCCACCUGGGGAGUACGCUCGCAAGAGUGAAACUCAAAUGAAUUGACGG
rnacentral:rRNA from 1 species